rnacentral:rRNA from 1 species
UUGGAGGGCAAGUCUGGUGCCAGCAGCCGCGGUAAUUCCAGCUCCAAUAGCGUAUAUUAAAGUUGUUGCAGUUAAAAAGCUCGUAGUUGAAUUUCGGGACCAUCAUGUCGGUCGUGCCUCGGUACGUACUGGCAUUGUUGGUUUCUCCCUUCUGACGAACCAUGAUGUCAUUUAUUUGGUGUUGUGGGGAAUCAGGACUGUUACUUUGAAAAAAUUAGAGUGUUUAAAGCAGGCUCACGCUUGAAUACAUUAGCAUGGAAUAAAGAAAUAGGACGUUUGAUUCUAUUUUGUUGGUUUCUAGGAUCGACGUAAUGAUUAAUAGGGAUAGUUGGGGGCAUUAGUAUUCGAUUGUCAGAGGUGAAAUUCUUGGAUUUAUUGAAGACUAACUACUGCGAAAGCAUUUGCCAAGGAUGUUUUCAUUAAUCAAGAACGAAAGUUAGGGGAUCGAAGACGAUCAGAUACCGUCGUAGUCUUAACCAUAAACUAUGCCGACUAGGGAUCGGAUGAUGUUAAUUUUUUAAUGACUCAUUCGGCGCCUUACGGGAAACCAAAGUGUUUGGGUUC